rnacentral:rRNA from 1 species
GAUGAACGCUGGCGGCGUGCCUAAUACAUGCAAGUCGAGCGAACAGAUGAGGAGCUUGCUCCUCUGACGUUAGCGGCGGACGGGUGAGUAACACGUGGAUAACCUACCUAUAAUACUGGGAUAACUUCGGGAAACCGGAUCUAAUACCGGAUAAUAUAUUGAACCGCAUGGUUCAAUAGUGAAUGACGGUUUUGCUGUCUCUUUUAGAUGGAUCCGGGCGGCAUUAGCUAGUUGGUAAGGUAACGGCUUACCAAGGCAACGAUGCGUAGCCGACGGGAGAGGGUGAUCGGCGACACGGGAAGGGAGACACGGACAAGAGGACUACGGGAGGAAGCAGAAGGGAAUGGGCGGCAAUGGGCGAAAGCAUGACGGAGCAACGCCGCAUGAGUGAUGAAGGUGUUCGGAUCGUAAAACUCUGUUAUGAGGGAAGAACAAAUGUGUAAGUAAAUAUGCACGUAGUGACGGUAACUAAUCAGAAAGCAACGGCUAACUACGUG